AGUUAAUUGCCCUGCAGUGAGGAUAUCUCACACCUCAGCCCAGGAAUACAGCAGAGAAAGGAUCCCCCACAGACAACCAGGUGCUUGCUCAACAAGACCAGCGCUCGCCCACCCGCCCGGGGACCAGCCUGCGGCGGCCUGCAGGAGCACGAGGCCGAGGUGGAGAAUCCGUGCAGCGGGCCCCGCGCCAUGUACAGCCCCGGCACGUCCACAGAGCCCCAGGAACCAUCAAGGGACUCCCGUCUCAGCAGCUGGGGACACGCCUGUAAGACCUGCAGGCCUUCCUUUUUGAUAACCAGAGGACAGCUUAUGAAUUCAGUGUGCAGUGUUCCAGUCAACUAAAUGGACUUGCCUUCAGCCAGGAGGGAGCCAGUUCUGCAGGACAGAACUAAUAUUGGGUCUCCCAGGAAGCUCUUCAUCAAAACAGCCCUUGUCCUUUUGUUUUUGUUUCUGAAUUAAAAAGAUGCCUUUGC
ensembl:lncRNA